CAGGUAGGUACCUACGCAACUAUUUUCCAGUUCUAGGCUGGCUGUACUCAUUUCAAGGUUAACGCUUGCCAUUUUGUAAUGUCCAUGAUUCCUACCCCAUUGGAUCUACAUCCCGCCCUUCUUCGUUGGAAGCCUUUCGGCCUUAGAGAAACUCUGUGCUGGAAAAGGGUUCCCCUGUCCGUGGCCGGUUUUCAGGGCCAAAUUGUAAAGUGCUAUACGGCUGCUGCCUUCCAUUCGACCUUAGUUUGCAAAUAUUCCACACUAUCAGAGCCAUCUUUCCUGUAUCGCUCGACUACGGGGAUCUCAAGCAUGUUGCUAGUGCCACCCAGUUACAGAUUCUGCACUUCCAUGGUCUUCUUUUUUCAUCUU
rnacentral:sRNA from 1 species